rnacentral:miRNA from 1 species
CUCACUUUGUAGCCCAGGCUGGCCUUAAACUCACAGAGAUCAUCCUGCCUCGGCCUCCCAAGUGCUGGGGU